GACGAACGCUGGCGGCGUGCUUAACACAUGCAAGUCGAACGGAAAGGCCCUGCUUUUGUGGGGUGCUCGAGUGGCGAACGGGUGAGUAACACGUGAGUACCUGCCCUUGACUUUGGGAUAACUUCAGGAAACUGGGGCUAAUACCGGAUAGGAGCUCCUGCUGCAUGGUGGGGGUUGGAAAGUUUCGGCGGUUGGGGAUGGACUCGCGGCUUAUCAGCUUGUUGGUGGGGUAGUGGCUUACCAAGGCUUUGGCGGGUAGCCGGCCUGAGAGGGUGACCGGCCACAUUGGGACUGAGAUACGGCCCAGACUCCUACGGGAGGCAGCAGUGGGGAAUAUUGCACAAUGGGCGGAAGCCUGAUGCAGCAACGCCGCGUGCGGGAUGACGGCCUUCGGGUUGUAAACCGCUUUCGCCUGUGACGAAGCGUGAGUGACGGUAAUGGGUAAAGAAGCACCGGCUAACUACGUG
rnacentral:rRNA from 1 species